rnacentral:lncRNA from 1 species
GCCGGGACUACGGCUCCCACAGGGCAGAGCGACGCGGCUCAAGGCACGCCGGGAAUUGUAGUCCAUGAAUGGUCCUACCCUCUACUCUUUCCCUGAGAUUUCGCCCUCCCAACGUGACCGGAGACGCUCAGUUCACGGAUGCAGUUGGUACUCCCAAGCUAGUUUGAUGUGGCGCGCUGGAUCCGGGAAGAGAACGGACUACAGCUCCCAGGAUCCCCUUAAGAUGGGCUUUGGGCUCCGAUAACUGACCAAGACCAGGAAGAUAAAAACAAUGUCAGAGGCCAACUGGAGACAGGAUUUGCUUUGGGCAAAGCGUUCCACUUGCUGAAGGUUCAAGAGUUGGCAAGUCCUGUGGCCACUCCCUCCACACCCCCACCAUCAGAAGUAUAGUGAGGAGUCUGCUAGAGGAUGCCAACUUCUGGGAUUAUCCUCUAGGCAUAGUGGUGGGCCCAUACAGAAAAUUCUUGGACAGCUUUUCCUGGAAUGUUUCUACUAACAACCCAUCUCAAACAUGAGAUCCCUUUACAGCAGAUCCCAAAUGCAGAGCUGUCUGCCUGGGGCUCAGUUCCCUCAGAAUCUUCCACUGGGGGUUGAAUGGACAACGCUUACCUGGGAGAUACACCGAGGAGCUGCCAGGCUUUGGUGCGCUGUGCUCCUGGUUUAUUUCUAGCCUUUCCUAGGCAGAGGCGCCUUUUUGGUGUCAAUUAAAUUCCCAUGGCUAGAACCUAACUGGGAGUGCAAUAGGUACGUGGUUUGCUGUUCUGAUGAUGUGUAGUGUCAGGGUCUACUGUGCCACUUAAACUCUUCAUAAUAUACCUCCUCCCAUUCUCGAUGGCUCUCAAUAUUUCACUAUACCCUCUGACCACAAUACAGUGAUUUCUCUUGGACACAGGAUGUGUAGGCCAGGGGUAAGAGCACUGUGCCUGAGAUCUGUGAGAUCCACAUCUAUACUUUCCCCUCUGCCUGUGUGGCAACCUCAACUGAGGCUCCUAUAGUCCUUCUGGGCUGUAUUCAGGGCACAAGUCUUACCACUAAGGGGCUGUGGGAGGUCAUCGGGAACUUGCCUUUAGAAGUGACUGUCAAUUGAACAACUCACUUCAGGACCUAGACUCUGCCCAUCCUAGAGGAGAAAUCCUGGGGCCUCAGGGUAGGCCUGACCUGAUCAGGGCAGAAAACAGUGGGUUUCUUUGGUCUGUACUUAAAUGGCCAACGUCAUCUCCCUAGAAACCUGAGGGAGAUAAAAGCAAGGCCCAUAGCCACCCACCCCACCACCCUGUGGAGAAAGAAGCCGGCUCCGUGUGCGGUAACAGCUUUAAUCUGUGGUAGCUGACACAUGGGGCAGGGUCCUGCUGGCCUCCCAUCCUUCCAUGCCCUGGAGGAAGAGCUACUUCUCAGGGAGCUGAAGCAAUGUCAUGAGCAAGUUGGUGAUUGGUGUGUUUCCCAGGGUCUCCUAGAGACCUGUGUUUAAAGUGAGCACUGCAGGGUGGACAGCAGAGACAGGCUGCAAGCCCUUACACAGGGCCUGGACCUGGGCACAGAAAGGCGGGGCUCCAGUAUUGAUAUAUUAUACAUAUAUAUAUAUAUAUAUUUCAUAUGUAUACACAGAUAGUUUUCUCUCUGGAAAGUAUUAAAAAAAUUGAUCAACCUUCAAUCUAUAAAAAAUACCUACUCUACAUGAUAGAAAAAUCUCUCCUCCAAGUUUACACUGAUUUACACACAAGGCUUUCCCCAAAAUGUACAAUACGAGGCAACAUCUUAAACUGUAGUGUGAGGCGGGGGCAGGGGGAUAGGCAGUGAAGGGAUGCAGGGCAGCAUGUGUGGGCACAAGAAUUCAUACACUCAAACUUGUGUGCGCACUCAUGCAUGCGCACACACUUGCGCACACACUUCCAUACACACUCACACUCACGCAGCCUAUGGUGUGGUCUCAGACACUGUGCCCAGACUCCGGCUAGUGCUCAGGCUCAGGCCCAGCUGCUAUGGGUGCCGCAGCUCUGUGGGUGGUGCAGGGCAGACAGCAAGCCUUCCUAUGCCUCUGGGUCAGUGUAGAACCUCCUCCAUUAUCCACUAGCAAACUGACUCCUGGGGGACACCCAGGGAUUUAAAGUCAAAAGCAGAGAAGGAAACUGUUCCAGAGGCCUAGACUAUUGUCUGGGAAAUGUAGACUUCUCCCAAGGCAGUAAAGUCAGCCUGAGGAGGGUGUGGGUCCAGGAGCCUAGGUAGGCCACACCUGAGGAGAAGCAGCACCUGCAGUGGGGACAGAGGCUGACCGUGCUCAUCAGUCCAGGAAGUGAGUUCCACAGGCAGCAUGAACUAGCUGCUCCAGCCCCUACAAGAGCCAGAGUUGAUGAGUUACUGUAGUGAGGGUCUGGCCAAAGAAUAGCUGUGUGGCUUGGAGGCCCUGGGUCCGAAGGUGAAUGGAAGCCCAUCUGGUGAGAGAAGGCCUGAGCAGCGCAAGGAGAAUUGGUGGCCUAUGGACUGGAAGCAGACCCAACGUGUGCCGUCUUUGCCUGUCUGUCUUUCCAACACUACCAUUUCUGUGUCCAACUUUGGGUCCUCAGCUUGCUGACUAUGUGGGAAUGGCCAAGCUUGGGUGGCACCAUGUCACCAGGAGUGAGAGGCAGCAACUGAGGGAGGACUCAUUCUCUCUCUCUCUCUUUCUCUCUCUCUCUCUUCCUAAUAGGGCGCAUAGCAGAAAGGGGCCCAUGCCAGCCUGAGAGACUAUCCCCACAUAUCUGCAUACUGCUGAGCAGACAUGGUGUUGUUGGUGAGGCUGGCUUGUGGUGGGAGGCCCUGGUUUCCUGAUGUUCAGAGAGCCAGCCACACCCUUUGCCUGCCGUGGACUUCCCUUUCUUCCUUCUUAUUGCCUCUGCAGCCCUUCUGUAUUUUCCCAGUCGAACUGCGUGAGGGCCCCACACACCCUGGGCUUGGUAAGCUGCAGGACCUGCUGGUCGGGCUCUUUGUGGCAAGACAGGGCCACUCCUGGGUGCUGUGGAGUCUCUAACCAGCCCAAACUGGGCUAAGAUGGACUACUUGACCUCUAGGAUGGAUGGGUUGGUCUCCAGGAUGGCCACAAUGAUCCUGUCAAUGUAGUCCUGCAGGCGGAAAUUGAUCUCCUCCUGCUUCUGGAUUGCUUCCAUGAGCUGCAGGAAAGCAGAGGGUCAAUGCAGGGAAAGGAAGGGGCCUGUACAGGAGAAAGAGGCCUAGGGUUAUACCAAGGCGGGGCAAGGUACCUCAUCUCGGGAGACAGAGCUGAUUUCUGCAGCCAGUGAUUCUGAGAAAGACGUGGAGAAGAGGCUCUUGGCACCCUGGAUGCUGAGGGUGAUGAUCUGCCCAUUUAGCUCAUCAUUUUGCUCCUUCAGGUUACGGUUGUCCUAGGGGACAUGGCAGUGUCACACUGGGCUGUGCCCUUGCUGGGACAAGGACCUUCCAGGAAGGACCCGAGCUUGUGUGUCCCCUCUCAUGCCAGCCUCUCAGGAGCUUCUGUGAGGGUAGAUGCAAGGGCAGGGCCACACCUGUUUGAGUCUGCGGACCUCCUGCUCCAGCUCGCUCUCCCGUGCACGGCUGUUGUACUCCUGCAGGCCCAGGCUGCUGCUGCGGCCCCGUCGCUGCUCCACCUCCAGUCUGAGGAGCUGUAGAUGUUCUAGCUGCUUGCGGAGGUCCUCGAUCAGCUGUGAGACAACCACAAGGUGGGCUCUGGCUAGUUGGCCUGACCCCCUCUCCUGGGAGGACGUUAACCUGUUCCAAGAAGCUGCUGCCCAGAGGUUUCAGUUCCAACGGCACUGCCCAACAUGGCAGGAAACUGUUUCCUGGCCUCCACCAAACAGCGGGCUACAUCAGACAACAUGGGACCAUGGGGGGGCGAGGGGGAGAAGAAUGGCCCAGCUCUGGGUCCAUGGUGGGGAGACAAACCAGCUCACCUCCUGGGUUGCUUCCUUGUCUCUCUGGAAUUGGUGCCGCUCAUGGCUCAGCCUGUCCCCCAUUUUCCUCUUAUUCUCCUGUUCCUCACUGAGCCGCUGUGUCAACUCCUCAAUCUCAUCCAGCAUCUUCUGCUUCUCCUGCGAAAACAGACACCUGUGUG